AGCGAACGCUGGCGGCAGGCUUAACACAUGCAAGUCGAACGGGCGUAGCAAUACGUCAGUGGCAGACGGGUGAGUAACACGUGGGAACAUACCUCUUGGUUCGGAACAACACAGGGAAACUUGUGCUAAUACCGGAUAAGCCCUUACGGGGAAAGAUUUAUCGCCGAGAGAUUGGCCCGCGUCUGAUUAGCUAGUUGGUA
rnacentral:rRNA from 1 species